ensembl:lincRNA Gm17501 predicted gene, 17501
AACUGGCCUGAAUAUACUGUGUUCCUUUGCUGAGGGGAGUUGGGGGUGGGGGUGGGGGGAAGCCUAGAAGUCCGGUAUACAGCACAGCGUUCAAACAGACACGCCAUUCCAUAGAUGCCUUUAAAAAUCAGAUUAAAGUUUUCUAACGAGGAUGUGUGGGGUUUUGUUUCUGGACUCCAACUGGGCAAUCUCGGAGAAUGGGAUUGUCCCAGAGGAGACGCGGGGAGAACAUUAGCGUCAGCUGUCCAUUUAAAGCAGCGGGUGUGUGGUGAGAAGAGGAGGGGUGCUGGAGUCGUCAAGGCCAGGAGGUGCUGGAGGAGGAGAGGCUGCGGGAACCUCUGUGCAUCGCCUCUGCAGACAGCAUGCUGGGAACCAGGAGAAACAGCGGCUGCUUAAGUCCUUGCCUAGAAUGGUCCAGCAACUCCAGACGUGCUGUCGCCUUCUCACCUCCUCUGCUGAGAGCUACAGAUCCUUCGUUGACAGACGGGGAGGGAAAUGUGCAAAUGGAGUGGACACGAGCAAUUUGUCCUCUGAGAGGCUCCAUCCAGCAGCUGACUCAGACAGAUGCAGACAUCCACAGCCAGAGGAUGGAGCUUGGGGACUCCUAUGGAAGAAUAGGAGGAAGAAUUGUGGGCUCCGAAGGGGAUAGGAACUCCACAGGAAGACCAACAGAGUCAACUAACCUUUACCCUUGGGAUUUCAGCGUGGGUCCUCAACAACUGGACCGAGGGCUAUC